GUCUUUUUGAUUAUAAUUUAAAGUCUAACCUGCCCACUGAAAUUUUUGAAGGGCCGCGGUAUUUUGACUGUGCAAAGGUAGCAUAAUCAUUAGUCUUUUAAUUGGAGGCUUGUAUGAAUGGUUGGAUGAGGUAUUAACUGUCUCAAUUUAAUAAGUAAAAGAAUUUUAUUUUUAAGUUAAAAAGCUUAAAUUUUAUUAAAAGACGAGAAGACCCUAUAGAUCUUUAUAAUUAAAUUUAUAAUAAUUUUUUAGAUUAAUUUUAUUUUUAUAAGUAUAAUUAUUAUAUUGGGGUGAUAAAAAAAUUUAUAAAACUUUUUUUGUAAAUUAACAAUAAUAUUUGGUUAAUUGAUCCAUUUUUUAUGAUUAUAAGAUUAAGUUACCUUAGGGAUAACAGCGUAAUUUUUUUGGAGAGUUCUUAUCGAUAAAAAAGAUUGCGACCUCGAUGUUGAAUUAAAGGUUAAUUUUAGGUGUAGAAGUUUAAAAUUUUGGUCUGUUCGACCAUUAAAUC
rnacentral:rRNA from 1 species